rnacentral:lncRNA from 1 species
AGAUGAGCUGAAACUGAAGCCACCAGACAAAGUGCUUUCUACUAUUUCCUUCCCUUUCUCCAGGCAGAGGAGUCUCUUCUCAGGUCCACCACCACCACAGUCCUACAGGGAGUACAGCCAAGUUCUAAACUUGAAUGCCAUUUGAAGAUCCUUGGAACUAUGAAAUAUCCCUAUAUUUGCUAAUGGGUAAAAAUACAAAUGCAUACCAAACUUCACUAAAUAUAUACAUGAAGAAUUGCAACCUUUCCAGCCAUGCAUACAAAUUCUCCAAAAGACAAUAUAAAAGGUGCAUACACAUUGAGGAUUAUCAUGUCUUCUUGGAAGAUUGCUCUGUUUAUGUAAUGCCUCACAUUAUCGCUGAUAAUUUUCCAUGCACUGAAGCCUGCUUUGUUAUUAUAACUACUCCAUAUUUCCUUCUCAGGUAUGUCUUUAUCAGCAGUGCGAUAUGUCUUUAUCGGCAGUGCGAAAAUGGAAUAAUACAGUAAAUUGGUACCAGUAGAGUGGAGUGCUGCUGAAAAGAUACUGGGAAAGGUGGAAACGACUUUGGAACUGGGUAACAGGCAGAGGUUGGAACAGUUUGGAGGGCUCAGAAGAAGACAGGAAAUUGUGGGAAAGUUUGGAACUCCCUAGAGACUUGUUGAAUAGCUUUGACCAAAAUCCUGAAAAUAUGGACAAUGAAAUCCAGUCUGAGGUGGUCUCAGAGGGAGAUGAGAAAUUUUUUGGGAACUGGAGCAAAGGCGACUCUUGUUAUUGUUUAGCAAGAGUUUUGCCACUGCCCUGGAGAUUUGUGGAACAUUGACUCUGAGAGAGAUUAUUUAGGGUAUCUGGCGGAAGAAAUUUCUAAGCAGCAAAGCAUUUAAGAGGUGACUUGGGC